UGGCUGAGGUUCCCUGGACGGUGUCGAGCAAGGAGCUGAAGGAGUACUUCUCCCAGUUCGGGUUGGUGCAGAGGUGCCAGCUGCCUUUCG